rnacentral:tmRNA from 1 species
GGGGGUGUCCUGGCUUCGACGGGGGUAGUGAGAUGACUUGGUGCAUGCCGAGGGGGCAGCUUUCCUCGUUAAUCCAGCAGCAAACUCAUAGUUGCCAACGACGACAACUACGCUCUCGCCGCUUAAGGCGUAAGCCCCGAACCCACUUGUGCUCAUGCUCGUCGGUGUAGGGUCAUUAUCAUGAGAUCGCCGAACGCUGCCGCCUGGCGGUUCUAGGCUAGAUCAAUCAGGCUGGUUCCGCGGUGCGCCUCGCCCAUCGUGCUUGUCGCGGAACGA